rnacentral:pre_miRNA from 1 species
AGGAGGAACAACCCCAGUGGCGUUGGCCAGCUCUGGAGCCCUUGAGUCAGUCACCGCAGUAACUACAGAGCUCUCCAUCUGCAGGGCCUGGAUGCUCUGGGGUGGG